rnacentral:lncRNA from 1 species
CACUCACUUCCUGUAGCCCUGACCAGAAUCCUUCCAUUCUGUAAAAUGCAAACACCUUCAGAAGGGGAUGGCUACUUUCAUCCCUAAGGUCUUAAUGUGAUCUGGUUUAGAACUCUUUUCUUUGUGGGAGGGGGAAAAAUAGGAGUAGGAAGCAAAAAGAAAAGGGUCAGGAAGCGCUAAGGGGAAGGAAUGGGGUGCCGCCUUUCCGUGUGGCUGAUGGCCGACCUUGGUUCUGGGUGCGUGGGUUCUGAGACCACCCUCAAUGACACAAAGUGUGUUAAAUACAGGGUGUCCUGAUGCGGGAUGCAAAACAACACCCACCCUCUCCCCCAGCCUACCCUCAUAAGCCGAAUAUUAAUUCUACGCCCCACAAACACUUUGAUGGCAUCGAUGCGGUCUAACAGUACGUUCUGUUUUCUGCCAUGCAGUGUGGGUAAUCGCUCAGCGCUCUUCGGUAGUGAAAGAAUCAGACUCCACUGCAGAAAACACCUCAUUCUAUUCUCAGAAGAAACACCAGAGGCUUUCGCACGAUCCCUUUUUCCUGAAACUGACUCUGCUGAGGAUGUGAUGUGGAUACGGUUCUUAUCAAAUAUCUGGAACACAGAAGAGCUUAUUACAUGUUGUGUGGAUGGAUUAAGCUUGCUAAGCUAUUUGGAAACAGGAAGAAAAAGCGUGCCCGGAAUUCGGAGACCACCCAUGGAAAGGCACGACCUCCACUGGGUGUUCAGGACUUGAGGUGGUCAGUAUUUCUGCUCCUUCCCAGCAGACCAGCUUGCUCCCACUCAACCCCAUGGCUUGCCUUCUCUUCCUUGGAAAUCUUACAUGCAUCUUGUUGCCUGACCAUCCC